rnacentral:lncRNA from 1 species
UGGACAAUAUUUAUUAAAUACAAACGAAAAUACUACAGUGUCGAUUUUCUAAAAAAAAAUUAAGAACUAAGCAAGGCCUACGUGCAAUGCAACGUGGGAUUGCUUGAUGAGAAAUAUAUAUAUAUAUAAUUUUAUAUACUAGCUAGUAUAAGAGUAUUAAUGUACAUUAUGUAGUGCAAGUUCAGUACAAUGUCACUGUGUGGGCACGGGGCCGGGCGGGGUGCAUGCACGCACUGUGGUCUGCCGGCCGUGUGCGGUGCAGUGCAGACAGGGACAAGCUAGCGCGGCACAUGGCGGGCAUUCAGCUCAAGCGUCCGCGCGCCGUCGUCGUCGUCGACCGUUCAUGCAUGCCCUCAUCACAUGCAUGCAUGCCCCUUGCCAGUUGUUUGCCGUGCGGUCCAAAACUUCAAACCCGCACGGCGCGUCGUGACGGGAACUGUGUGCUUCCGGACGUACUCUAUCCGGAGAUCCAAUCACCACCCGGAGCUUCCAGCAAAAGAUACGGAGUACUCCGUGUGUGCGGUGUGUUGUAGCAAGCAUCCGUGGAAAUUCCUGGGUGAAGCAAAGGGAAAAAAAAACAAUAGAGUUUGACAUUGUGGUUACAUUUAUUUUUUUAUUAAUAGAUUUUUGUUAACAGAGGUGCAUGUACUUUCACUGUACGUGCACGGUCGUUCGGGACCGCGGUGCCCCUUGGAACGCCCGGGCGCACCGCAGCAAGCGCCGCUCUCCCGUCGUCCACGGCCCGCGGGGCCAAAAGCCCAAAAUGGUGGCCUCUCGUCACACGGCCAUUAUAGCCCACACCCCACAGCUGCACUCCACGCGACGCUUGCCUUUUUUGCGCGCUCGGGCCUGGAUCUGGCCUGCCCCGCCAAACUAUACCCCGCAAACGGGAGUUUGUCUACCUGCCAUUCACGAAAAAAACCAAAAACUUUUCACUCCAUCACAUCAAUUUUGCGGCACAUGUAUAAAAUAGUAAAUAUAGACGAAAAUAAAAACUAAUUACACAAUUUACCUGUAAAUCGCAAGAUGAAUCUUUUGAGUCUAGUUAGUUCAUGAUUAGACAAUAAUUACCAAAUGAAAACAAAAAUGCUACAUUAUCGAAAACCAAAAAAAUUUUCCUUCUUUUUUUUUCUUUCCUUUUUAUUUUUUUCCCUUUGUGCACCGACGGAGCCAACUGUGGGGCUGGUGGGGCUCCAGCCCCCUACGGCCGUAUAACCCGCGUAGCCCCUCUAACAGCUUGGCUAUUUUUGUUUUGGAGGUUAUUUUAGAAUUUGCAUAACAAAAGAUAGACUCCAACAGAUGUGCUAUCUAAGUUUUGUAGAAUAGAAAGUUGGCUAUUCCUUAAUUUUCGCUGGCCAUAUAUAGCCAACCAUUGACACAUGCUAUAUGAUUUUAUAAAAUAGCAAGACUGUUGUGGAUCUUUUAUUUUUUUAAGAAGUUUUCUAUUUUACAAAGUGGCUAAAUAAUAAAAUUUGGCUACUAAUUUUAGCCAGGCUGUUAGAGUUGCUCUUAGCCCCUCCUACAAAUUUUUAUCAUUUAUGCUCUUUAAAAAGAGGCUGAAGUUAUCUUAAGGUAGCAGAAGCUUUCUCUAAAUAUUUUUCUGGAUUCGUCACUGCUUGUGUGAGUGUUUUUCUGCCUUGGAUGGUACCUAGAGAACCCGACCACUUCUGGAACGGACCGAGGCUGUUCUCAUCUUGCAUUCAUUGAUUUUUUUUUGGGUUAAACAAUGAGAUCAAAGAUUAACAUCAGUGAACAAUGCUGAACUAUGAGUGUUACUGAGACUUUGAGGCACCUGAACCAAAAUGACCCAAAAAAAACGCUGAAAACAUCUGGAAACCCUUGGUAAUAUCAUUUAUUCCAUGAUACAACUGUGCGUGGCAUAUUUCAGUAUGCAAGAAAUCUGCUAAGCAGUACAAUCAAUCACUAAUUUUCUUUUUUCUCAAUACGGAUUGCCGAGCUUAUUGGGUUGAGCUUAUCUACCAGUCAUUCAUUAGUAUUUUUUUCUCUCACAACAAAUCAGUGAACACCACUUCAGCCAUGCUUUUAGAAACCAUUUGCAACAACUUGUAGGAUCCUAAUAAUGAUGAGCUCUGAUUAUUUUCUAAGACGGAUAGCGCUGACAUGUUCCAGAUGAACAAUUACCACUCAGGCCUUGUUUAGUUUCCAAAAAAUUUCAAAAUUCUCCGUCACAUCGAAUCUUGUAGCAUAUGCAUGAAGUAUUAAGGCCUUGUUUAGUUCGCAAAAAUUUUCAAGAUUCUCCGUCACAUCGAAUCUUUGAUCGCAUCCAUAGAGCAUUAAAUAUAGAUAAAAAUAAAAACUAAUUGCACAGUUUAUCUGUAAUUUGUGAGAUGAAUCUUUUGAGCCUAGUUACUCCUUGUUUGGAUAAUGUUUGUCAAAUAAAAACGAAAGUGCUACAGUAGCCGAAAACGAAAAUUUUUACGAACUAAACAAGGCCUAAAUGUAGAUAAAAACGAAUACUGAUUACACAGUUUACCGGUAAUUCGCGAGCUGAAUCUUUUGAGUCUGGUUUUAUCACAAACAAACGAAAGUGCUACAGUAGCCAAAACUAAAAAAUUUUUUCUCAACUAAAUAAGGCCUCAGUAGUUAUUGUAUACAUCGAGCAGCCGCAGCUGAAUCAGCUGCUACAGAGAUGCAGUCAAAGUACAAGUAGGUGUGGCAGAGUAUAAGUAGGUGUUCGUGACCAACACAAACUGCCACAAAACACAAAUCAUAUAUUCUCAGCACAGAUCAGGAAGGUGCCGAGAAGGAACAUGAUGCCCACGAAGCUCCGAGCCUCGGCCUUUUUUAAUCUUGGCCUUGUUUAGUUCCAAAAGUGAAAAGUUUUCGGCACCGUAGCACUUUCGUUUGUUUGUGACAAAUAUUAUCCAAUCAUAGACUAACUAGGAUCAAAAGAUUCGUUUCGUGAUUUACAGCUAAACUGUAUAAUUAGUUUUUGUUUUUGUCUAUAUUUAAUGUUUCAUGCAUGUGCCACAAGAUUCGAUGUGACGUGGAAUUUUGAAAACUUUUUGGUUUUCAGGGUGAACUAAACAAGGCCAUGCAACUUUGUCUUGCUGGCUGUUCUGGACCCCUUUGGUGCUUCUACACCUUAUGUGACUUUUUUUCCGAUUGCAAGGAUGAUGCAUGAAUACCCAUAGCACCACACACACUCAUGCCCAUGGGUGCAUCUUCUACCAUACGCAUCUUGUGUGUUUUUCUCCGAAGAUAAGCAAGCUUUCAUCGACACCAUAGCGUGGCUAGAGAAACCUAAACAGGAUAUAUAUAUAUAUAUAUAUACCUUGAGAUGCACAUACUAUAGUAUCUACAACUCUUUUUGACCAAAUAAAAAAUUGGAAUCGAAAUAUAUAGGAGGCUAAUGUUACGCGACCACCUUCUCCGCCGCGAUGUCCCCUCUCCUCGUCUUCUUCUCCCUCCGUGCUAACCCUCCUCCACCCUCACGUCACCUCACCAUGCCACCCAACUCCUGUCCCUACCCUCCCCAAAGCUCCAUUGUGGCACCUUCACCAACAUCAUCCUCACCCCCGCCCCCGCCCUUGUCCCCACCACCGGUGGCUAGUGGCUCCCGUUGCCCACCUAUCGUCCCUCAUCGUUGACCCUGCCCUCGAAUCCCGAGGUAGGUCAUCGACGGCCUCCACCGUGACACCCCCGUCACCAGUCCCACCUAAUAGCCUUUUCUCGCCGCCCCACCCGUCUCCACCUCCGUGUUACGACCGCCACCCCCAAAACCCUUUCUAAAAUCAUAGGGAAUAGAUCUCCUUACCUAACACUGAUGAACUCCUCACGGGAACCCUAGCCACCACCAUCUUCUUCUUCGUCUCUAGUGGCAUGCGGGCGCAUGCGCGAGAGUGACCAGUCACAUGACAAACUUUGCAAAAUACAUAUGUACCUCUUAUGGAGAUCUAGCCUCCACGCCAAAUUGGUAGCUCCUCCUUGACAUAUGAAAUGUAGCAACCAAAUUUUGUAAUGCAAAAUUUGCUCUAGAUCAGAAGAUGACUCCAAGGAGCGGUACUUCCGGUGGCUAAUCUAAUCUAACAAUGUGAACUGUUCAGGUUUGAGGAAUAGAUACACCCGUUUUA